CAACCCAAGGACAGGGGAUGCGGUGAGUAGACUGUCCCGGUUCAGUUUGAGGGUCAACCAGCGGUGUAUCUUCUCCAGGAUCUUCUCUAACAGUAAGCUGUCCUUUCUUCCGUUAUAGAGUAUCUCCCCUUACGCGUGGUUUCAGUUUCGCUUUCGGCAGUUUCAGAAACCCGCCAGUCAACCCUGGCAGGAAGCAGAUGAUUCUGACGAAUCAUCAGAAAGCCAAUAGCAGCCUAACUCUGCGUCAGGAAGCUGCGUCAUUCCCCGCACUUCCUUUCUUCACGUAGGCGUUUUAUGAUCUCACGUCAGCACAGGAAGAAGGAGGGAAACUAAGGCUGAGAGGUGAUUUGAUCAAGGUCAUCCAGCAAGUGUUGGAUGGAGGUCUAGAGUCCAGAAUUUGACUAUUAAAGAGCAGAAUCAAGAAAAGGCAGAGUUGGCUCUGGCUGGUGCAUGGAGAUGAGAUUCUGAAGAGGACCAGAGCAGAAGGAGGGAAAUCAGCAGAAGCAGGAGUUGCAGUAAUGCAGCCUGUCUUGGGGAGGACACCAGCAGGAACCCAUGAGGCUAGCCCUUCAACUUGUUCAGGAGGAAAACUGUCGAAUUGAGAGCUCAGAGAGAAUCAUUGUUUAAAUCUCAGGGAUACUGGUCUAGAGAUUACAGAAAGCAGGCAUGCCACCACUUACAAGGAAGACGUGCGGGAUAUUGAAUUCAUAUCCUGAACUACUGUUGACCAGACAAACCAAAGCUCAUGCCCUGAGAAUGGUGGGCUGUCCAGAACAUGGAGCUAGUUACCUGCUCACUAUGACUAACCAUUAAAGACUGAUAACUUGCUGUCCUUGGAAACUCUUUCUUGUGACCUUACAUCAUGAAAAUUCACCUUGCCUUAAAGAGGAAGUGAACCCCCCUGACCAGGAUGCUAUUAAAUCAAUUGGAGAAAAAGAAAUCCUCAUUAACAAGUAAAAAUGUCACCUGAAUCUGAAGAGCAGCCCACCCAUGUUCAUCUUUAGUUUGUGACGCUGAUGUCAACAGUGGCAGUUGCAUGUUAACCCAGUGCCCUUAUCAAAACAGAGAAAUGAAGAGGGUCAGUGCCAAGUCAGUGACUUCCCAUAUGGUUGCAAGAGGUAGAGCCAGGAUUUGAAACUCAAGUUCUGAUUCCAGGGCCCUCCCUUGCCAUUUUAUCAUGUGGCCCCAUUGCAGUUUGUGUAUAUUUGUCCAACCUGUGUUGAGUAUUUUAUUGAUCUUUCAU